rnacentral:lncRNA from 1 species
GGGGCAGCAAACAUUCUCAACUGGAUUCCCUAAUCCAACAUGCACUAAUCCUCCUAAUACAUCAACACAAGCCCCUAGCUUAAGGGCGUUGAUUGGACAAGUGGGUUGAGUAGUAGGUGGAGGAUUAAGCCCCGGAACACCACCACCACCACCUCCUCCUCCUCCUCCUCCACCGCCUCCGCCACCGCCGCCGCCUCCGCCACCACCAGAUGGAGGGCUAGGCGUGUAUGGUGGGUAACCUGAAGAAGGCGGCGGUGUUAUUACAGGAGGAGGUGUUAUUAUUACAGGAGGGUUUACUACAGGAGGAGGAUUAAUGACUAUUGGUGGCAAAACCACUGGUGGGUUUUUUGUUGAAGGUGGUUUUGGGUGGCCGCCGUGGUGUGGUGGGUGCUUGGUGCUUGGUGGGUUAGGAUGAGGAACUUUUGGGUGG